UACCAGAACAACUUCUGAAAUGCUGGGGUAAAGCUUUUAAACCAUUUCAAAUGCAGUCUGAAUCCAAAUGGAUGCAAUUUUAACUCCAGGAGAGGUCAUCAGCCUGAUCUAUCGCCCUACGUUACGAAGAUCAAAUCAAGAUGGGGGAUUCGUAAUAUGCGUGGAGUAACGUGGAGGAAGUGUCCAAACCCAAAAGGUGCUUGAAGACGUUUAACCAAAGAGCACAUGCAGUCAUGCUGAAGAUGAUCAUCCAUGAACAUAUUUAGGAGACGAGGAUUUAUAAAGCCAAGAAAUUCACAUUGAAGGGAAACCUAAGCGUAUCAAGCUCCCGAAAAAGAAGAAAUGCGCAGAUACUAAGAGUCAACAGUUUCCAAGCCAGUCACCCUGUGCAUCAGAAGGCUUUAUUCAUAGUACCAGAGACAGUGCCUGGGAAAGGGAGCUGAUCCUGAGUGCCAGCCCAUCCGUUUCCAGACCCCAAAAGCACUAAUAACAGGUAGGAACUUGGAAACACUCCAGCCUUCAUUUAAACUUACUCUGUAAACAGAAGCAGACAACUUUGCAUAAUCUUGACUACUCCAGUUCGCAUGAGGAGGGCCAUUAUGCUCCAUUAGGUCUCUGAACCAUCACUUACCAACACGCUGUUUGCCACCAGGACUUCUAUAGUCCAGUUCCCUAUAGACAUACACUCUACUUAUCUCCCUGCACAACAGUUCUGCAUCCCCACCACGCUAUCAGCAUGUCUCUCCUCCGCACCUCCACAGGCACUGCGCUCUUGCACCCUAAGUUCAUACAGGUGUUAGUGAAAGAGAAAAUACAGCAGUACUCCCCUUUGCGACUUCUCUAUCCAUCUUUUCAGAAUUCUGUUGCCCACCAUUUAAUACCCUGCUUGCUAACCGUUGGGGUGACCCCACUUUUCAUCUUUCACCCAUGAUUUACUUGAUUACCAAGAUUCACCUGAGGAAGACUGCAACCACAAUGAAAAUGUAAGUGUUCAGAGAAAGGCAGCAAGGGUUGAGUCAGUCUUGUAGACAAAGUGGCUGAGAUCUUUCAGAACAGUGACCUGUUCCAAAAAGCCACCGUAUCCUCCAAAUAUUAGUGUUUCUUACGCUCCUGCAUGCAUCCGCCUCCUAUUUACGGUAGUUCUUACGGGCUUUACCAUCUAUUGUGUCACUACCCGUUGUACUUUUCAGAAGCAUAUCCCAGAUGGAUAGGAUAUAUCUGUAUCAAUUGCAGCUAGAAACCAGUGUCCGUACUAUUUAAAGUUAAAAUUUUAGCUUCCAAACUAUAUAGCACAGUAGUCUGAAACAAAUCACAAAGACAGAGAAACAGUGCAGGAGCAGAGAGAGAACUGGUCCUUUGCGAUCACAUUACAUGAGAUCUUUGGCAGACUAACAGAAAUUAUUUCAGUGUAAGUAAAGGUACAUUCAUGUCCGCUAGUCAGAAAGUCUUUUAUUCUCUAAAUAUUGACUAGAACUAAAAGUUCCAAAACCCAGCAUCUCUCUCCUCCCUCCCAGAAGCCAAAAGGAAGACAAUCUUACAGUAAGCUAGGAAAAGUUCAGCUAAAUUUCCAUUUGGAUCUCACGGUUCGCUGCUGGGACACUGCAGCUUAACAUCGAAUAUGGGACAGCUGGUUCACUUUAUAAACCUGUGCUUGGAAUGAUUUAUGCUGCAACUUUA